GAAAUGCCUUUUUCCUUUUUUUUGAAAAAAAGAAUAAAAUAAUAUAUAUAUAGGCUUUUUAGAGGUAGGUUUUUUUUAAUGCCAAACUAGUAUUUGGAAUAGUUGGGCUAGUAGUAUGAACAACUUUGGUUUGUCAGUGAUCUUUUGUUGGCUUUGAGGUCAUGAGUUGUAUGCAUUUAAACAAAUUGUAUUAGAACUUCCUGUGAUGGUAUAGUUGUGAGUUGUAUCAAUUUUUUUGUAAGA
rnacentral:misc_RNA from 1 species